rnacentral:lncRNA from 1 species
UGUAGGUGGUAGCGGCAAAAUAUUCGAGUGGAUGGAGGGGUUCAGGUUUGGGCUGCUCCCACCCAAUGGCUUAGGCUUUCAUGCCUGAGGUUUAUUCUUUGCAUAUGUUUGAUCGAGUACCAAAACAAACUUGUUUGAUAAUUUACAUGUGCAAAAUAAAUACGUUGCUCUGAACGAUUUGUGUCGUGUGUUGAUUUUACUUUCUAAUUAAGGAGUGCGGUUUCCCUUAUGUCGAGAUCAGGUCAAUCUACUAAAUCGGGUGCACUGUGGACAGAGCUCCACUGGCGAGUUAGUACUUUUGUACUAUCCAAGGGCCAGUCAUGAUGAAGAAUCAAACCUUUAUCUCCUUGCCUUGCAACGCAUUGAAUAUGCCCGUUAAGCACCGUCCUGCAACCGCCUUUUCUCUGGUUUGGUCUCAUUGUUAUGCAUUCCCUACCAUCUUGUUGGUCAACUUCUCGGCGGCAUCAACUGGUAACCGUUCGCAGUUGACUACUCUUCUUGACCGCUGAUAAACCCACUAUCCAGAGCCCCUUUCUCCAUUGAGGCGCACUAUAGUCUCAGUCAUAUCUAGUAGUGCUUACCUGUGGCUUUAAAAGUGCUCUAUAAUAAUGUAUAUUUAAUAAUGGAGCUUGGAGCUUCACUAUCUUAAUCAAGGUAGCCUGUUCCUACCCUUUCCAAUAAAACGGGAAUCUUCGAGCUACCUAAUAACCAGAGACUAAUGUUCGACGCUACUUCAAUCUGAACAGACACAGGAACUUGUAACCAAAAGGUCUGAAUGUCAAAAGAUACUAUCCUCUGGUUAGAAAUUGAACCCCUAUUAUGCCUCACAACUUCUCUCGUUGACGGAACGGCAGGCUCACAACACUCUACCGAAAACGCGAAGAUAUGGUCAAGCCAUUGGGUUUUCUUGAGGAAGGUAUCAAGUAUACCAGUGCUUCCUAUGCGAAACCAAUAAUACCAAGACGCUCUUCACAUUUGUUGCUCAUGUCUACCAACAUUCUGCUAUUUUUUUUUCAAAGGCCCAGACUGAUCGGCACUGCCACAGGAGAUGAAUGAAGAAAGGACUUCACUCAAUCGGCUAAGAGUCUCGCUCCAACGUAGAUGUUUGCUGUACCAUAGUAUUCUUGCCAUCCACCUAUUCCGGGAAAGGAAUGUGUCAAAGAAUGUGAACGGCAUUCUACUGCGGUGGGUUGGAGUUCAGGAUCGAAGGAUCUGAAGGUUUGAGCAGGCUAGCCCUAAUCUCGAACCAUUAUAGGGUCAAAGAAGGACA